rnacentral:lncRNA from 1 species
GAUCAUCAGGAUGGUUGCACAAUGUAUUGAAUGUAAAUGCCACUGAACUGUACACCUUAAAAGGGCUCAAAUGACGUCAUUAGCACCCACCCUCCCAGAUGUGACAAUCAGAAAUGUGUCCAGACAUAUCCAGAUGUCCCUUAUGGCGAAGGCAGAAUCGCCCUGGCUUUGCAGACUCCAGCUGGAAUCCCCACUGCAAGGGAUGGAGGAGCAACAGCUCAGCAAUCUGGAGGCAAGGUGAGAAGCGGAGAAGCACGGAAACGAAGUCUCUCUGCCUCAACCAGCAAAGUGAACCACUCCCCAGCGACGGAAACCGGGGCUUCCUAGAAGAAACGAUACACUCCCCACCUCCCUCUGUUUGUGCUGCAGUGAAAACUGACACGAGAGAUUCAUCGGAACACGUGCCCUCGUUCCACUCCCAUCAGCCCACCGCGGGGACAGGAGCUGUUCAUCUUUUUGGCUCUGCUCGCAGC